GGUUAAGUUAGAAAGGGCGCACGGUGGAUGCCUUGACACUAGGAGUCGAUGAAGGACGGGACUAACGCCGAUAUGCUUCGGGGAGCUGUAAGUAAGCUUUGAUCCGAAGAUUUCCGAAUGGGAAACCCACUAUACGUAAUGGUAUGGUAUCCUUACCUGAAUACAUAGGGUAUGGAAGACAGACCCAGGGAACUGAAACAUCUAAGUACCUGGAGGAAGAGAAAGCAAAUGCGAUUUCCUGAGUAGCGGCGAGCGAGCAGGUCCUAGAACCGGCGAGUUACGAUCCCGUGCGAGGUUAAGCUGAAGAGGCGGAGCCGCAGCGAAAGCGAGUCUGAAUAGGGCGUUUAGUACGUGGUCGUAGACCCGAAACCAGGUGAUCUACCCAUGUCCAGGGUGAAGUUCAGGUAACACUGAAUGGAGGCCCGAACCCACGCACGUUGAAAAGUGCGGGGAUGAGGUGUGGGUAGCGGAGAAAUUCCAAUCGAACCUGGAGAUAGCUGGUUCUCCCCGAAAUAGCUUUAGGGCUAGCCUUAAGUGUAAGAGUCUUGGAGGUAGAGCACUGAUUGAACUAGGGGUCCUCAUCGGAUUACCGAAUUCAGUCAAACUCCGAAUGCCAAUGACUUAUCCUUAGGAGUCAGACUGCGAGUGAUAAGAUCCGUAGUCAAGAGGGAAACAGCCCAGAUCGCCAGCUAAGGUCCCAAAGUGUGUAUUAAGUGGAAAAGGAUGUGGAGUUGCUUAGACAACUAGGAUGUUGGCUCAGAAGCAGCCACCAUUUAAAGAGUGCGUAAUAGCUCACUAGUCGAGUGACUCUGCGCCGAAAAUGUACCGGGGCUAAAUACACCACCGAAGCUGCGAAUUGAUACCAAUGGUAUCAGUGGUAGGGGAGCGUUCUAAGUGCAGUGAAGUCAGACCGGAAGGACUGGUGGAGCGCUUAGAAGUGAGAAUGCCGGUAUGAGUAGCGAAAGACGGGUGAGAAUCCCGUCCACCGAAUGCCUAAGGUUUCCUGAGGAAGGCUCGUCCGCUCAGGGUUAGUCAGGACCUAAGCCGAGGCCGACAGGCGUAGGCGAUGGACAACAGGUUGAUAUUCCUGUACCACCUCUUUAUCGUUUGAGCAAUGGAGGGACGCAGAAGGAUAGAAGAAGCGUGCGAUUGGUUGUGCACGUCCAAGCAGUUAGGCUGAUAAGUAGGCAAAUCCGCUUAUCGUGAAGGCUGAGCUGUGAUGGGGAAGCUCCUUAUGGAGCGAAGUCUUUGAUUCCCCGCUGCCAAGAAAAGCUUCUAGCGAGAUAAAAGGUGCCUGUACCGCAAACCGACACAGGUAGGCGAGGAGAGAAUCCUAAGGUGUGCGAGAGAACUCUGGUUAAGGAACUCGGCAAAAUGACCCCGUAACUUCGGGAGAAGGGGUGCUUUCUUAACGGAAAGCCGCAGUGAAUAGGCCCAAGCGACUGUUUAGCAAAAACACAGGUCUCUGCGAAGCCGUAAGGCGAAGUAUAGGGGCUGACACCUGCCCGGUGCUGGAAGGUUAAGGAGAGGGGUUAGCGUAAGCGAAGCUCUGAACUGAAGCCCCAGUAAACGGCGGCCGUAACUAUAACGGUCCUAAGGUAGCGAAAUUCCUUGUCGGGUAAGUUCCGACCCGCACGAAAGGUGUAACGAUUUGGGCACUGUCUCAACCAGAGACUCGGUGAAAUUAUAGUACCUGUGAAGAUGCAGGUUACCCGCGACAGGACGGAAAGACCCCGUGGAGCUUUACUGUAGCCUGAUAUUGAAUUUUGGUACAGUUUGUACAGGAUAGGCGGGAGCCAUUGAAACCGGAGCGCUAGCUUCGGUGGAGGCGCUGGUGGGAUACCGCCCUGACUGUAUUGAAAUUCUAACCUACGGGUCUCAUCGACCCGGGAGACAGUGUCAGGUGGGCAGUUUGACUGGGGCGGUCGCCUCCUAAAGUGUAACGGAGGCGCCCAAAGGUUCCCUCAGAAUGGUUGGAAAUCAUUCGUAGAGUGCAAAGGCAUAAGGGAGCUUGACUGCGAGACCUACAAGUCGAGCAGGGACGAAAGAUCGGGCUUAGUGAUCCGGUGGUUCCGCAUGGAAGGGCCAUCGCUCAACGGAUAAAAGCUACCCCGGGGAUAACAGGCUUAUCUCCCCCAAGAGUCCACAUCGACGGGGAGGUUUGGCACCUCGAUGUCGGCUCAUCGCAUCCUGGGGCUGUAGUCGGUCCCAAGGGUUGGGCUGUUCGCCCAUUAAAGCGGUACGCGAGCUGGGUUCAGAACGUCGUGAGACAGUUCGGUCCCUAUCCGUCGUGGGCGCAGGAAAUUUGAGAGGAGCUGUCCUUAGUACGAGAGGACCGGGAUGGACGCACCGCUGGUGUACCAGUUGUUCUGCCAAGGGCAUAGCUGGGUAGCUAUGUGCGGAAGGGAUAAGUGCUGAAAGCAUCUAAGCAUGAAGCCCCCCUCAAGAUGAGAUUUCCCAUAGCGUAAGCUAGUAAGAUCCCUGAAAGAUGAUCAGGUUGAUAGGUUCGAGGUGGAAGCAUGGUGACAUGUGGAGCUGACGAAUACUAAUAGAUCGAGGACUUAACCAU
rnacentral:rRNA from 1 species